rnacentral:rRNA from 1 species
GACGAACGCUGGCGGCGUGCUUAACACAUGCAAGUCGAACGGAAAGGCCCUGCUUUUGUGGGGUGCUCGAGUGGCGAACGGGUGAGUAACACGUGAGUAACCUGCCCUUGACUUUGGGAUAACUUCAGGAAACUGGGGCUAAUACCGGAUAGGAGCUCCUGCUGCAUGGUGGGGGUUGGAAAGUUUCGGCGGUUGGGGAUGGACUCGCGGCUUAUCAGCUUGUUGGUGGGGUAGUGGCUUACCAAGGCUUUGACGGGUAGCCGGCCUGAGAGGGUGACCGGCCACAUUGGGACUGAGAUACGGCCCAGACUCCUACGGGAGGCAGCAGUGGAGAAUAUUGCACAAUGGGCGGAAGCCUGAUGCAGCAACGCCGCGUGCGGGAUGACGGCCUUCGGGUUGUAAACCGCUGUCGCCUGUGACGAAGCGUGAGUGACGGUAAUGGGUAAAGAAGCACCGGCUAACUACGUG